CAGCCAGUGUGACAAACCGCUGCACUCACAGACAACUGAUUCAUUCAUGUUGUUAUAACGUUGUGUUUGUACGUGGAGGUUAAGAAAUAUCAGUGUUGUUUUUUAAUUAAUUAAAUAAAAACACCAGUUAACACUGGUGCGUGACGAUGGGUUUGUGUCUUUCGUUCGACUGCGGCGACUGUGAGGUCUGCUGCAACCCUUGUUGCCUGGCGCUGAGUGCUUGCUGCCUGGUGCCCUGCCUGUGCCCUAAUGCAUGCGGCCAGCAGCAGCCGCCGCCACAGCAAGUGACGGUGGUACAGCAGCCACCGCCAGUAAUAUACGAGCAACAACCUCCGCCACCACCCGGCUACCCAUACCCACCACCGCCCGGAGGAUACCCACCACCAGGCGGCUACCCAGGAUACCCACAACAAGGAUACCCAGGCUACGAUCCUAACCAAAUGUACAGAUGAAAAGCUUUUAGUUAAGAAUGUGUUGUAACAUUAGAUGUCGUCCUUGUUGCUGUUGCUGCGUGCCGUGCUGUUGCUGUGACUGUUGCAGCGAUAAUCAGCGUCCAGUUGUUGUUCAUCAGAACGUCAUCGUGCAACAACCCAAGGCCGGUCAAGUCGUACAGCCAACUGCACCUCCACCGUACAGCAAGUGAAAACCCUAACCGCAAAUGAUUUGGCAAAACGUUUACUACUGUGUAAAUAGCUUCUAAGAUAAAUGCUUUCAGAUAUAAUCGACAUUAUCCAUAGGGCUACUUCCGUGUUCAGUUACACUAACUUACUUUAAUACAUAAAGGAAUACUAUACUUAUUUUAAUUAUAGAAUGUUUUGUUUUUUUCGUUUGUACUUUUUUAGAAGUUGACAAAACAUUCUAGUCUUUAUUGAAUGAUUAUAGGUUAUGUUUAGAACGGUUAUUAUUUACAUAAAACGUAUGUACAAUUUAUGUAAGUCUGUAUAAGCAGACGAGGCAUUAAAUUUACAUUAUUUUUUGUUGUUAUUCUCCUUAAGAAUUGAUAUAAUCGUUUAUGCAAGUAUUUUGUACUUCUGUUUUUUUUAAUAAAAUUCCUAUGUAAUUUAUUACUGGUAUAUAAAAAACAGUAAAUUAUAUUCUGCCAAAAACAACUUGAAUAUCGGCAACAGGGUUAUAUAUGAUCUACUUAACGACAAGGAAAAACAUCUCUAAAAGUGAAAUAAAUAAAUGAAUUAUUUUAAAAUUGAUUUAUUUAAAUCUUCAUUGGAAGUUGGCAGCAAUCAAGGAUACUAAAUGUUACACUGUAAAAAAUUGUUAUACUUAUAAAUAUUUUUUACCAAAUAAUUUAGAACAUUAUGUUAUUUUUAAGCAAGUUAUUGGUCGGCUUUAUUUUAUACUGCGUUUCUUAACGUGUGAAGGAAGAUAAAGUUAUUAUCUAUAAUAUUUAACAUUUCUUUUCUAAGCUGUGAAAACUGAGAUAAGAGAUAGUAUAAAUAUUGUCAUAUAAAAGUAAACUUUGUUAGAGAUAUUAUAUCAUGCCAUUUAUACUGCAGCUGUUAAUUACGUUAGCUUUACUUGCAUUAGUGAAAACACAUUUUUCUACAAUUUUUCUCUUAUUAUGCUGUUGUAAAAUCUUUGUUCCUUCUAUUGUUAUCAGUUAAUCGAGGCUUCAAGAUAGGAGUUCUGUAUUUUUCCACGUGUCUACGUUGAUAGGAGCCACAUUUGUAAUUGUGAUAAUAUCGCAAAAAAAUAUACCAAUCUUACCUCGAUUGUAUAUAAAUUAAAAACACAAUAUAUAUACACAAAUUACAAAAUAUAUACACAAAUUACAAAAUAUAUACAAAAUAUAUGAAACACUUAAAAAAAGACAACACAAAUAUGUACUUGUAAAUAAUUGAAAUUAUUGUCAUUCUGAUAAUAAAACAUAGCAGGCUUGUUUAAAUUAUAUUUAUAAGAAAUACGAAUGUAUAGUUGUGCAUGUGUACAGUUUGUUAUAUGAAUUUAAUAGGAAAAAUAACUAGACCUCAGUCAAAGUACGUAAGGAACUAGUUUUAUAUAGAUUUACAUAUUUAUCACACUUAUUACAAAACAUAUUUUAUUACGUAUCUAUUUUAUGAGAUAAAAUUCUAUUAAUGUU